GAUGAACGCUAGCUACAGGCUUAACACAUGCAAGUCGAGGGGCAGCAUGGUCUUAGCUUGCUAAGGCCGAUGGCGACCGGCGCACGGGUGAGUAACACGUAUCCAACCUGCCGUCUACUCUUGGACAGCCUUCUGAAAGGAAGAUUAAUACAAGAUGGCAUCAUGAGUCCGCAUGUUCACAUGAUUAAAGGUAUUCCGGUAGACGAUGGGGAUCGACGUUCCAUUAGAUAGUAGGCGGGGUAACGGCCCACCUAGUCUUCGAUGGAUAGGGGUUCUGAGAGGGACGGUACCCCCACAGUUGAACUGAGACACGGUCCAACUCCGUACGGGAGCAGCAGUGAGGAAUUAUUGACACAAGUGGGACGAAAGCC
rnacentral:rRNA from 1 species